UACGAACUGUGCAAACGUUAUUCGGAAUCACUGGGCUUAAAGGGUGCGUAGGCGGCUGUCUAAGUAGGGUGUGAAAGCCCCCGGCUCAACCGGGGAAUUGCGCCCUAAACUGGAUGGCUGGAGUGAGGCAGGGGUGUGUGGAACUUCCGGUGGAGCGGUGAAAUGUGUUGAUAUCGGAAGGAACGCCGGUGGCGAAAGCGGCCUGCUGGACCUCUUCUGACGCUGAGGCGCGAAAGCUAGGGGAGCGAACGGG
rnacentral:rRNA from 1 species